rnacentral:rRNA from 1 species
AUUGAACGCUGGCGGCAGGCUUAACACAUGCAAGUCGAGCGGGGUGAUGGUGCUUGCACUAUCACUUAGCGGCGGACGGGUGAGUAAUGCUUAGGAAUCUGCCUAUUAGUGGGGGACAACAUCUCGAAAGGGAUGCUAAUACCGCAUACGUCCUACGGGAGAAAGCAGGGGAUCACUUGUGACCUUGCGCUAAUAGAUGAGCCUAAGUCGUAUUAGCUAGUUGGUGGGGUAAAGGCCUACCAAGGCGACGAUCUGUAGCGGGUCUGAGAGGAUGAGCCGCCAAACUGGGACAGAGAUACGGCCCAGACUCGUACGGGAGGCAGCAGUGGGGAAUAUUGGGCAAUGGGGGGAACCCUGAUCCAGCCAUGCAGCGUGUGUGAAGAAGGCCUUAUGGUUGUAAAGCACUUUAAGCGAGGAGGAGGCUCUUUUGGUUAAUGCCCAAGAUGAGUGGACGUUACUCGCAGAAUAAGCACCGGCUAACUCUGUGCCAGCCGCCGCCGUAA